rnacentral:misc_RNA from 1 species
UCUCCGUAGGUGAACCUGCGGAGGGAUCAUUACAGAGUUCAUGCCCUACCGGGUAGAUCUCCCACCCUAUGUUAUUAUUACUUUGUUGCUUUGGCGGGCCGUUAGGCUCCGGCCCGACCACCGGCCCCGGCUGGUAAGCGCCCGCCAGAGGACCCAAAACCCUGAAUAUUAGUGUCGUCCGAGUACUAUAUAAUAGUUAAAACUUUCAACAACGGAUCUCUUGGUUCUGGCAUCGAUAAGAACGCAGC